ACAGAAUUUAUAUUAAACUACUUGUCAACGGCUUGAUGUCACUAUCAGUUAAGUAUGGUUGUCUUAUCGGCAUUCCAAGUGGAUAACCAGUUGUGCUCGUGUCAAAGUUAACAAGCCGCUGACAACGCCUCGAUGUUAAAAAGAGAUUACUAAAUACUUAAAUCGCGACACGCUGCCAUGUGGAGCACUGUGCGAGGAGGCCACGCAACGGCAUUUGCGGACUUGCUACAUGCAAAUUGUGGCCAAGCGCGAUGUGUCAACAACUCUCGGCGAUCGCAUUCAAAUUUGGUGUUCCGUCGAAUCCUGCUAACCCUGCCCCCGUACCGCUGUUCACCCCAGGGCAAUGCACGCGCCAAGGCUUUUCCUUGCAUCGAACCGCUAAUCGCCUGAAUGGGGCAUGGAAAUUGAAAUUGGAAAUUGGAGCUACAGUAUGUAUAUGUAUGUAGACUAUGCUAUAUGUGCAUCUGUGUGUGAAUAGAUGGAAAUGAUACGCACGCCAGACGCAGGUGACCGACUUCCCAAAUGCAACGUGAUGUGAGUGAGCUCCACUAAAGGCGAUUUCUGUGCAUUGUCUUCACUGAGGGUGGAGGCGUGCCCGAUGUGAAGCCGUUGAUAUUGAGCACGUAGCCCAAAAAUGGAUGCCAUGAAAUGGCUCUUAAUGCUCACUAAAUAAAUACUUGGCAUGCAUGGAUAAUAUUGAUAUUAAUAUUAAGCGACAACGGAAGAAAAUUGCACAGAACCGAAAGAUAUUCGCUUGGAUUCCAUGUAAGUUGUUCCGACUCGAACGAACUCGUUGCGGCUUCCGCUUAGCUCCCUUUACGCUUUGUUUCAACUCUGCGGUUGAGCCCGAUCAAUCUUAAUGGCCUGGCCUCACACAAUGGCCCGGAAUAUGGGUAGAUGCGUAUAAAUAUUUACGACCCUUAAUUGGUAAAGGCUUCGACGUUUGGGGCAACAGAGAGCGAGAUUUUAGAUACCAGCUGAGUGCAUCGUUGGAAAUUUUGCAAAUGGCAAAUGGCAAAUGGCAAGUGGCAUGUGGCAGCUGGCAGCAGCAAAACACCUAACAAAACUGGCCAGAACGACGAAGACUAGGUCUAGCUGAAUUGAUAGAAAGACGUCAGCACUGAGGGGCACUCGAGUCCAAGUCCAACGGCAACAACAAAGAAACA
rnacentral:sRNA from 1 species